rnacentral:rRNA from 1 species
UACGUAGGGUGCAAGCGUUAUUCGGAUUCACUGGGCGUAAAGGGUGCGCAGGCGGUUGGGUGUGUCAGAUGUGAAAUCCCGAGGCUUAACCUCGGAACUGCGUCUGAAACUACUCGACUAGAGUACUGGAGAGGGUAACGGAAUUCACGGUGUAGCAGUGAAAUGCGUAGAUAUCGUGAGGAACACCAGAGGCGAAGGCGGUUACCUGGACAGUUACUGACGCUCAGGCACGAAAGCAUGGGGAGCAAAAGGG